rnacentral:lncRNA from 1 species
AUGUGACAGGAGAGCCAUCCUGACCUGCGUCUCUGGUGGAGGGUGCACAACAUCAGCUGCAUGCAGGGAGUGGUCUGCGAGGCUGGGGCUAGGAAUGGGAUCGUCUCCCUGUGGUAUUGCUGCUUUGAGCUUCAUCUAUGCGUGUGUCCCAUGAGCAAACUAAACAAAUGGAAGGCUUCUGCUAAGCUUCGACUCUCACAAAACUCAGCUCCUUGCCUCCAACGAAUCAACAGCCACAAACCCCGUGCAGGCUGGGAAGAAAGAAGAGGGCUAGGUACUGUACAAACACAGGACAGCUGCACAGAUAUUAUCACAGAACAACAGGCUGAAUGGAUUUUGAAAGAUCAGAGUUUAUCAUGCUGCCCCAAGGCAAGAUUAACUAUCCCUGUGUUAUUCCUAAAAGAUGUUUGUAUAAGUCGUUCUUAA